AACGCACAUUGCGCCCUUUAGUAUUCUGAAGGGCAUGCCUGUUCGAGCGUCAUUAUCACUAAUCAAGCUUGGCUUGCUGUUGGGCCUCUUGUCGUUAAAAAACCGACAGGCCUUAAAAAUAAUGACGGCGUUACUUGGACCCUAGAUGCAACGAGCUUUCAUUAGCACGCGUUUAGUUGGACCUUUUAACCCAGUCUUUUUUAACCGAUUUUCUAAGGUUGACCUCGGAUCAGGUAGGAAUACCCGCUGAACUUAA
rnacentral:misc_RNA from 1 species